rnacentral:rRNA from 1 species
UAGGGAAUCUUCCACAAUGGGCGAAAGCCUGAUGGAGCAACGCCGCGUGUGUGGUGAAGGCUUUCGGGUCGUAAAGCACUGUUGUAUGGGAAGAACAGCUAGAAUAGGAAAUGAUUUUAGUUUGACGGUACCAUACCAGAAAGGGACGGCUAAAUACGUGCCAG